GUCUGAUCCAGUCAUUCCACUUGGGUAAUUGGAAAUCUGUAUCUGCCCUCUGAGAUGAAAGUUGGUAAUGACUUCAAGAAGCAUGACACGAAAAAUCUGUGCAUUUUAUGAUUUAUUUGAUUUUCUCUAUUAUCUGUCAUGAUAUAUAUUUGAUCUUCUGUGCUAAUGUACCAUUUUCAUAUUCAAACAAAUGGUUUUCAUAAUGAUGAGAUAGGUAAACAAGGAAGUAAAU
rnacentral:lncRNA from 1 species